rnacentral:lncRNA from 1 species
CCAUCCAACAAAAAAAAUUAGAUUUUCUCCUUUAUAUUUAUAAGAAUGCCACUAGUAUAAAAAGUCAACAACCACUCUUAUUUCGGAACAGUCUCCGGCGGACCUCCGGCGAGAUUUCCAGCGGACCUCCGGUGAGGUUUCCGGCCGACCUUCGGCGAGGUUUCCGGCCGACCUCCGGCGAGGUUUCCGGCCGACCUCCGACGAUGACAAAAAUUACUACUACCAGCUAAAAAAGCUACUACCACCAGCUACAAAAGCUACUACCACCGCCUACAAAAGCUACUACUGUGAGGUUUCUGAUGAAAACAAAAAGCUACUACCACCAGCGACAAAAGCUACUACCACCAGCUACAAAAGCUACUACCACCGCCUACAAAGCUACUACUGUGAGGUUUUCGACGAACACAAAACUACUACCACCAGCGACAAAAGCUACUACCACCAGCUACAAAAGCUACUACCACCGCUUACAAAAGCUACUACUGUGAGGUUUCCGAGGAACACAAAAACUACUAUCACCAACCACAAAAGCUACUACCACUAGCUACAAAAGCUACUACCACCGUCUACAAAAGCUACUACUGUGAGGUUUCCAAUGAACACAAAAGCUACUACCACAAACUACUACCACCAACCACAAAAGCUACUACCACAAGCUACAAAAGCUACUNNNNN